CUAUUACUGUUUUCAGCACAGUCUGUAGCUUGCCCACUGCCAACAGUUUAUUCUAGAUACAGAUGAAGGAGAGAAAAAGGGGAGGGGUUAAGUUGACACUUUGCUUAAUGCCUGAUACUUUUUCUUGCCAUGCCUCCAGUGUUACAACUCCAUGCACUUUUCCCCUGAUGGAGCCACCGGCCCCCAAAGUCUCUUGCUCCUGACCGUGAGCUCAGCCAACACUGUGCUGAGCUUCUCCUCCCUCUCAUGGCUCUACCUCUACCCUUUGCUGUCUGCCCUUCUUGGUAACUCCAAAUGAUGCCCCAAACUCCUAGGUUUCUAACCCCACUAAGCUGAAACCUGGUUCUCUCUUGAAGACACUACCUCAAAAAGCCCUUAAGCAGAUACUGCUCAUUUUCCUUCUUAUCUUGGAACCAGGAAAGGGAUCUGUAUUUCUCUUCUGCCGCUUUGAUGCGCUGUUGUCCAGGACAGUGUUCCUGAAGCACAUGCCAUCUGCUUGGACUACUUUAUCCUGUUCUGGUUGCUACUGGACAUUCCCCAAGAUGUUGGCAACUGAUACUUUCUUCUUCACCAGCAACCUAGGAUCUGGGAACGUGACUGUGAUGGCCCUUGGUCUACUGAAGCAGAGACAUGGGCAGCUAGCUGGAUUGAUCAUAACAGUUGAUCCAGAGGCUGAAAGAGAAGUGACCUGACCAAGGCUACAGAUAGUGGCAUCACAAAGACACCAGGUCCUGGGUCUCCUGACCCCAGCUCACUGCUCCUGCUCCAGAUCAUGUUGCUUUGACAUGCUAACAAGUCAGCGGAUAUCCUUGCAGCACCAUAUACCAUCAUGGCUGCUCGUUGGAAUCAUUGCUGCAGCCGACACACAAUCCGUGAGCCUGUUUCCGCCUGCCCCAGGAACCUUAAGGAUUCUGAAAACCUUUUGUUGGGGUGGGAAAGGGAGGGGGGGUUUGGAGAGGGUG